rnacentral:tRNA from 3 species
UAGAAUAUAGUUUAAGAAGAAUUGGAGCUUUGGGAGUUUCGGGUGCCUUUUUGGGUUGUUCUAA